rnacentral:rRNA from 1 species
UACGUAGGGUGCGAGCGUUGUCCGGAAUUAUUGGGCGUAAAGAGCUCGUAGGCGGUCUGUCGCGUCGGAUGUGAAAACUCGGGGGCUCAACCCCCGAGCCUGCAUUCGAUACGGGCAGACUAGAGUUCGGUAGGGGAGACUGGAAUUCCUGGUGUAGCGGUGAAAUGCGCAGAUAUCAGGAGGAACACCGGUGGCGAAGGCGGGUCUCUGGGCCGAUACUGACGCUGAGGUGCGAAAGCGUGGGGAGCGAACAGG